AGAGUUUGAUCAUGGCUCAGAACGAACGCUGGCGGCAGGCUUAACACAUGCAAGUCGAACGCCCCGCAAGGGGAGUGGCAGACGGGUGAGUAACACGUGGGAACCUUCCUAGAGGUACGGAACAACUCAGGGAAACUUGAGCUAAUACCGUAUACGCUCCUGCGAGGAAAGAUUUAUCGCCUUUAGACGGGCCCGCGUAGGAUUAGGUAGUUGGUGAGGUAACGGCUCACCAAGCCUACGAUCCUUAGCUGAUCUGAGAGGAUGAUCAGCCACACUGGGACUGAGACACGGCCCAGACUCCUACGGGAGGCAGCAGUGGGGAAUCUUGGACAAUGGGCGCAAGCCUGAUCCAGCCAUGCCGCGUGAGUGAAGAAGGCCUUCGGGUUGUAAAGCUCUUUUGUCAGGGACGAUAAUGACGGUACC
rnacentral:rRNA from 1 species